ensembl:lncRNA
GGACAGGUUCCCCUCAGGGACGGGUUCCCCUUGUGGACGGGUUCCCCUCGGGGGACGGGUUACCCUCCGGGGAUGGGUUCCCCUUGGGGGAUGGGUUACCCUCCGGGGAUGGGUUCCCCUCUGGAAAUGGGUUACCCUGAGGGUAUGGGUUACCCUCCGGGGACAGGUUACCCUCUGGGGACAGGUUACCCUCAGGGGACGAGUUCCCCUCCGGAGAUGGGUUCCCCUCUGGGUACGGGUUACCCUCUGGGAACAGGUUACCCUCGGGGGAUGGGUUACCCUCGGGAGAUGGGUUACUUCGGGGGAUGGGUUACCCUCGGGGGACGGGUUACCCCUCAGAGAUGGGCUAGGGUGCUGAAGAUUCUCCGUCACUUCUCUCGUGGAGACGCUUCCUCACCUUUCUCUGAAAUCUGAGUCUGUCUUUCUGUCCGACAGUGGAGCACGAUGGAUGCGACACUAUGCUGGUUCUGGGCCUGAUAGUUUCUUCUUUCAUGCUUUUGGGAGCCCUGAGCUCCCGUGUGGAAAGUCCAGCUCCCCUGAUGGAGACACAGCUGGGAAGACCCAGAGUCAGAGAGGCCCUGAGAGAGUCCUGCUGACCAACUCUACACACACAGGUGAGCUGUCUUGCACCCUGUUGCCGGAUCAGGUCUCCAGAUGACGACAGAUCCAGAUGUGUCAUGUCGAGCAGAAGACUCACGGAACUGAGCCCAGUCAGCCCACAGAAUCAUGGCAGAUCAUCACAGAGGAUCUUGUUCUAAGACGCUAAACGCUGGGGCAGUUCGCUUUAUGUGACCACAUGCCUCCUCCCCUUCUGGUAAUAGAGCAUCCUUGGGAGAUGCCCUUUCACCUGCUCACCGGGGGGGUGGUACCAACCCUAUUAACACCUUGUUCCUUCAGUCCCAGGAAGGGUUGGGACCCAGGCCCAGUCAAGAUAAUAUUAAACCACAUGGCAGUAGUGAUUGGCUUGGCGAUGGUAUGUGACCCUAGAAGAACCAGUCAGGGCCCUUCCUGGGGUUGAUAUGUUGUUGAUGGGCGAGAGAAGCUAUGUCUCCUGCGUUUGCUGAGCUGGGGUGAUGUGAACCCAGAAGCUGUCUGUGGUCCUGUUCCCCACCUGCCUCCGCAUGCCAGCUGGAAGUAGGUCGAUUCCAGCUGUGGUCUGAGAGGACUCGAAGGUGGUGCAGUGACUGCUGGGCCAGCUCUCUCCCUGGACUUUAUCGUUUCAUGAGUUACAUGUUCUUUCUCCUUUAAACUGGUUUGAGGAGGUUUCCGUCACUGGAACCGAUGGGACGCAUCACACUGACUCUAUUUCUUGGCUUUAAAUGGCUUACGCAGCGUUGUUCUAUCUCAGAGGCUCCAUCCUCACGGGAAAGGAAAGAAAAGCUGAUAUUACUGGCAGCUCAAGCUUG